GCUCUGGGAUUGGCUCACCUUGGCACUCUUUGCUGAUGUUGGUCUUUGUUGACAACACUGUGGUGUUUGCCUUCCUCAGACUUCACAGGGAGAAACGCACGAAAGAAACUUCUUGUGAUAUCCCCUCAGCUUCUUGCCUCUGUGUACUCGGGCCGAUUGGCAGAGCCACCCGGUUUCUUCUGGAUGGAACGGCCAUUGCCAUCUUCGAAUGGUGUUUGUGAGUGGAACAGAGCUGUCUUUCCAGUCCUCUGUUUUCCCUUUUAACAACUGAGGGUGUUGCAGUCUGCUCUGUGGUCCGAUUUUGGAUUCAUUGACCGAAAAACAUGUUCUACUCUUUCUUGUUGGGAGCGAUGCCCUUGAAACCCUCCAUUAUUAAUGAUAUUAUUAUGGUUAGAAUUAAGUAUGACUGGGUUCAUGGAAAAUCCCCAGCCAGCUGCAGAAGACUAAUACAAAUCUGGUGGUCAAGAUAAAUAAUAAUAUGAUAAAGUUCUCUUGCUGAGAAGUACAUCUGACGUCAAGAUACCCAAUGUGAUGACCUGUCACCUUUCUGAGAAACCAACAUCCUGCUAUUAGAUAUGGCAAACCUGUGACCUUUCUGACAUCCUGUCAACAUCAGCUGAUUCUCUGACCACACGAAUACCGUGUCCUUGGCCUGCAUAAAUGUUUCACACUUCCCUCCUCCCUCUGUUACCCCUGUUAUGGUAUAAAUUCAGCCUUGGGGAAAAAUAAAAUUGUCGCCUUGAUCAGACUCUUGGCGUCCUUCUUCACAUCCCUUGUCCUCCAUUCUCUUACAGGUACCCUCUGCACCCCUCGUUGACACUUUCUCCCCUCUUAGCUUAUUGGUCAUAACUUUUUCCCUUUUAAACUUAUUUUUGUAGUGGUUGCCAUAAUAAGAAAGUUUAACUUGUCAGAAACGUUAUCUUCAGAAAAUAUAUUCCCCCCCCACAGCCUGUGUAUUACUACUUCUUCCUCCCUUCAUGCUACCCUUGUCACAUGUGACACAUACACAUAAACCUUGCGUGAAUUAUUGCCACACAUGAUACAUGCAUGUAACACACGUUGUUGCCAAGAAGUUUAGAUGGUCCAAAGACCUUUUUUUUUUUAAGCUUAACUUACAGAUUCUGUAUUUCACACAUUUACUGCCCAACUUUACCACUAUGGACAGACCCAGAUCCUGUCUGCUACAGUUUGCGUCUGUUUUUAAAGGUUGUUUCCUUUCAUUUCUUCCCUUGAAAAACUGCCUAGAGACAACUCCGCCUGGCUUAUUUGCCAGGUGCUGGGUGCAGAUUCCAGAUUAAUAGUGUUUUGCUUUGAGUAACUUCCUUUAAUGAUUGUGACUUAUUGUAAAUUAAUGUCUAGUAUGGCGAGUUCUCCUUAAUUGUUUUCUCUAUCUUUCCUGCAGUAAGUUAAAAGUCUUGUUCAAUUAAAAGGACCUUCUGUUGAUAAUUUUUAAAAUUCCAUGUACAGGCUCCCUCGGGGGUGAUUUAAUCUUUUUCUGAUCCCAUACCUACCUGUACAUGAAGUAAGCUUGUAUUUUCACCUUUGCUUCAACUGUCCCUUUGCAUUUCUAAGUAGCAUUCAGACAAUUUCCUCUCAAACACGUCUUAAACAUUUCUUACUAUAUUCGGAGGUUCUUCAUAUUUUUGUGAAGCUGCUUUUGUGUAGGAAAUUUGUUCCUCUCCAUUAGUUUUGUCCCAACCACUGCACCGUACUUACAUUCCCCACUCAUUUGCUGAUGUCUUUUCAACUGUACCUUGUGGUGGUUGUGUGUUCUUGCAUUCGAAUGCCUUUUUCCUACUGUUCUGAUAACGCCUUUCUUCCCCUCUGGUUUCGAAUGUUUUAACGAUCCCUAUUGGAAACCCCUUCACACUGUUACACUAGGUAUAGUUUAUGGACAGUACACGCUACUGAUUCGUCCUCUUUGACUGUAUUUCCAUGUGGUGAGAAGGAUUUCAUCUUGGGCGCAUCUGCAGUAGGAACCACUUCCUGCAGAGUCCCACGGGCCUGUCUUCGUGACUUGGUUUUCACUCUUUCUGCUGGCUCCAUUCUUAGAUAAUUUUAAUGUUUAUUUUUUGACUAUAACUUUCUUCAGUUACGGUUAGAGGGAACUUUGUCGAACUCCCACACAUGGCACAAUUUUGGGAGUUUGAUUUCUGGAGGUCUCCUCUUCUGCCACCCACGGCAUCAGGCAGACAGUCAACUUCCUGCCACCGCCUUCCACCAGUGGACAGAGUUCUUCUGGUCCUUAUUUGCUGGUCUUUGCAUGGAGGGGACAGCCCCAUCUGCCGUCUUUCUAUGGAGGGGACAGCCCCACCUGCCUUGUAGCUUUAUUCACCAAGAUCAGUUCUGGUUCCUCUACCUUGCAGCCCAAGGCACAGCCUUGGGAUCUUAAGGCUCUGCACCUAUGCCCGCCACAUCCCUGUGAACCAGUCGUUUGAAGCAUCUGCUCCGUGUUAUAGGUUUGCUUUUCUAUUGUCUUCUUUGGUGUUUGGGAACUUUCCUUGCUUGCCGAGUUUGAGAUGAUGACGAUAGCAAUGGCGGGGCAAAGACACUUUGACUUUACAAUAACAAUCCGACCCCUAUCCCUCUUGUGUCAUGGUGUUCUCGACAUAACAGGAAGCAGGCAAUUUGCAGAGGUAGUCUUCGGUUCCAACCCAUAACAACUGCCUGAGAGAAGACUGGUUGCUUUUGAAGCAGUUGCCAUGGUUGUUUUUGUUACUAACACCAUUAUGUAACUUCACUGAUUUUUUUUUUUAGAAGCUUAGAUAGUAUUUUCCUGGAAGAAAGGGGUCUGCAAAUUCAAAUGACAAAGCAGGCUAGAUUUCCUAUCUAUCGUAUUGUAGUUGUGGUUAAAUAAUGAUAGUUGAUGAACGGCACCACCAGUUAGUUAGAGGACCUGCUUUGAAAGGUUGUAUUAAAGUAAGGAGGCUGAAUUGCAGGAGGCAGAAUCUACCUUAUUGACUUGCGUGCCACCUCAGGCUUGUGUGUGUGUGUGUGUGUGUGUGUGUGUGUGUGUGUAUGUUGGGUUGGGAAGGCACAGUGCAUCAAGAGUAAUUGUUACUAAGCCCAACUGGAGGACACUGGGAGGUGCUCAGAGGCCAAGGUUCUGAAUGUUUCUCAUUAAUUAUCUUCAAAACAAACGCUCAGCCUAAAAUCCCCAAUUAGAGAGCUGUGCAUGGCUGAGGCAGCCACGGUGGUAAAGUUUGCACUGUACUGGUUUUCAUUUCAGAAGCUGGGGUGGUACACAAUGGAAAAAUGUGGUCUCUGAGUCAGACAGAUUGGGUUCAAACUCUUUCUCUCCCGUUUACCAGCUUUAGGACAGUGAACAGAUUACACGGCUGUUCUGUGGCUCGGUUUCCUCUUCUAAAAUAGAGAGAUAACAAUAACCUUGCAUACACGUCUCAAUGCUACUGCACAGAUUAAGCCAACAGAUACACGGUGAGCUUUCCCAAAGAGGUGGAUUGACAAUCACCCAAGCCCUUACAUGGCACUUCUAGAUCCUUCCAUGUGGAAAUCUCACCUUACUGAAAUACAAGCCACCUGUGGGUGGGUGAAUGUGUCAGCAAAGUCUACUUUGAGGAUCCUAAAGACAGUCUCUCUUGCCUGAUCAGAGGACACAGGAUCUGAAAGCUGAUGCCUCUUUCCAUCCUCUGAAUCCCGAUGACUGCGUUGGGCCCCAAUGCACUCACGAUCGGCCAGAACACUCCCAAUGGAGGUCAUACGUGCAUAGACUGGCCUAUUGGAUGGUGAACAGGAACCAGGGAAAGCCAACAACUCCAUUUUCUACUGGAAAAACGCCCAGGGACUGGUAAGCAACAGAAGCAUUUACAGGAACAUACAUGAAGAGUUUGAGGAGAUUUCAGCAUGUUUACGGGGGGAGAAUCAAGCAACCAGGUUGGUUCAUGCGGGGGAGGCGGGGGCUUGAGCAUUCUCUCUCCUAAAACUGGAUCUACGGGCAGAUCUAUACAUGAGCAUGGCCUAUAACAACCACAUCUUAGGUGUUCUCUCAAAGAUGGGCAUUUAACUGGUCAAAGCAGUGUAUCUCUGAAGUGGGAGGAGAGAGAUACACUAAUAUUGAUAUCGAUGUCAUCUUUCCUACCAUCACUAUUGUGGGGUGAUGAAUAUGGUUGGCUUCUGUCUGUAGGUCCUGAGAGAUAGCCUCACACUCACUGGUUCCUGAACAAGAGGGUAUCAUUCAUCGUGGGCACCUUGGACUGUGCCUGAAUGCUGAUGAGAUGAUUCAGGAUGGAGGUUGGCUAUGGCAGAAAGAUUAAUCACUCCAUUCAAAGUUUGUCACUUUGGGCGUGUGGUGUAGGCCAACCUCUGGGAUCUGGGGUCUAAUGACAUUACACAGCGUAUCAAUCAAUUGUGCUGUGGAAUUUAAACAACCCGAAGACUGGAUUUGGCUUCCUCAUUAAUGGUUGCCUGGUGGACAAAGACUCUGCCUGUGUGUGCAACCCUUCCGGACCAUGCCCCGUUGGUCUUGGUUUGUGUUCUUUGAGUUUUCAGAGCCAUCUAAGGGAUUGCUGAGCCUGAGGAGGUAGGACGAACUUCUUUUUUUAAAAAUUUAUUUAUUUAUUAUAUAUGAGCACACUGUAGCUGUCUUCAGAAACACCAGAAGAGGACAUCGGAUCCAUCCCUGUGACAGAAGGUGGUGAGCCAUCAUGUGGCUGCUGGGAUUUGAACUCAGGACCUCUGGAAGAGCAGUCAGUGCUCUUAACCGCUGAGCCAUCUCUCCAGCCCUAGGACGAACUUCUAAAUUAUCCAGUUUAUAAGAAAGUGCAAGGGAAGGGGCUUCCUGGCACUUGUGAGGUAACAUCUGAGGCAGGUGAAGGGUUGUUGGAACGGUGACCAGAAACUUCAGAGUCUAUGGGAAUUCUACUUGGGUUGGGUUGGGAUCGCGUGGCUAUGGUCGCCUCUACUUGCUCCCCACUAUGCCAUGGACUUAUUACCUAAGUUUGAGUUCUUAUGGCAUUAUACAUAUGCAGUACAACUCAUACCAGAUUUAAACAGUACACUCAAAUAUGCAAAGAAAAUGUUGCCCAUACAAUCGGUUUUAUUUAUCUAACAAUCUCCACUUUUGCUCUCAGCCAUUGAAUUGUGUGAGGAAAAACAAACAAACAAACAAACAAAAAAACGAAUGGAACCUGAGCUUGGUAACUUACAAUACGGAGCCAUUUUUAAUAAACACAUUCCCUUAUGACUCUGGCUGUUUGGAGCACACUGGCAGUAACCCUCCUCCCCCUUUACCUCUGGUUCAUUUAUUUGGGGUUAGAACAAGAGCCUCUAUGCAGUGACAGAAUAGAGGACUCAAAUCCUUGGAGACUUGAGCAAGAGUGGACCAUGCCCUGAGGUAGCAUCCUCUGUCCUAGCCACAAUCACUCCAAAGGACCAAAAGUCCAGGGAGCUGGGAGAUUUGCCCACUGAAUUCUAAACCUUCACUUCUGUGCCUCACUUCAGCUAUCCAAAGCAUUGGAGCAGUUUCCCUUGCUUUCUCCUGCCCACUUCCAGGGCCUGUGCAGGUUUCCUCCUGCUUCAUUCUCCACAGGGUGGGCCUCACAGCCAGAUCUACACCUUAGGGUCUGUAGUCUGGGUUCUGCCUAUUUGGGUUCACCUUCCACACACACAGCUGGGUAUAGGAAGAGAUAAGGGGAAUAUGAGUCCAAGAGUGCAUUUGUAUUCUUUUGGCUUUGGGCACACUGUGAAUGCUCUGGGUUAGCUCUUAGACAGGCAACCAUUGAGGUGUCAGGCCUUUUGUGAUGAUGUAGGGAGAUCUGCCCCUGGGUUCUAUGGUCCUUGAUACAUAUUAUCAGUAGUGGUGCCCAUGGGCACAGGGUUUGUCAAGCCUGACUCUAAGACUCAAUCGGCAAACCUUUCUUCUGCCUCCUUACUUAAACACAGGGGAACUUCUAGAACCCCUACAUACUAUACCCACGUCAUGGGAAGAGUGCUGUCUUUCCAUUUUAGAUGGAAUUCACAUGGGAAGCCUUUAUUGCAGUUGCAUCAUCCAGAACACAGUCCGCAUGUGCCAUGCAGAAAUUCUAGAAGUUUCCCUAUAUAGUAGAACUUAUCGUUGUUAUCAGUAGUGUGGUCAUGGGUGUGUGAUACUAGGGCACCUGUGAGACCCGAGGACAACUUUGUCUCUCUACCUUUAUGUGGCUAGUAAGGAUUGAACUCAGGUUUUAAGGCUUGUGCAGCAAGCACCCCCACCCUCCAUGCUGUCUUUCUGGUCCUCAUCGUGAACCAGAAAAGAACUUAUUUUCAAUCGAGCUGUGCAAUCGAGUACACAUCAGGUUUCCAGGGCCGAGGCAAAAGAAUGACAUGCCUUGUUUUCAAUAGAUUGUGUGAGGAAAUAGUCCGGGAUGUAUUGGGUUUUAAAUAAAAAGCGUUACUGAAAUUGGGGUCUUUUUGUUGUUGUUGUUGUUGUUUGCUUGUUUAUUGUAGCCUGUACUAGGAUUUUGUUGGUAGUGGUUUUCUUUGCUUACAUGUCUUGAUGUUUUGUUAUUCUGGGUAGUCAAAGGGAUGAAUAGAACUAUUGUCUUGGACAAAGGGAGAGAGAUAGAAAGAUGAACAACCACAAAGAAUAAAACAAUUGCAGAUACAAACAUGACCCAGCUCAGCAGAUGGUCCAGAACCACAUCAUAGACCAGCCAUUUUCAGCAAUUCUCCCUGGAGCCCAUCUCUGUUACAAUGCCUGCCUGAGUGUAACCAAGAUCAGUGACUGGGAUAGUGUGGGGCAAGUGGACCACCAGCCAGAAGAACUGGUAAGGUGGAGAGAGCUCAGACUCUGUGAAUCUCAGAAUUGAGAACUAUAGGAGUAGGACCACUCCCUGCCUAACUCUACCUGUUCUGGAACAUGUAACCGCAACACCCCAGUGAGAGGACCCUGGCAAUCAGUCAUGCAGCAUAAAACUCUGCAGUUGUCUAUGCUAAUGAGGUAGGUAUAUAGCUAAGCUUGGUUGUUCAGCCAGUGAGUGUCCCUUCCCGGGCAUCCCUUCCUGCAAAAGGUGUUUAAUCCCAGGUUCACGUUGAAUACGGUGUAUGCAUUCAUUUCUGCCAUCAAAUGAAGAAGAUAGAACAAAGACCGUCUCUUCAUCAAGGACGGAGUGGGGCAAGGGAUGGGCGGUGGUGUCCUUCAUCGUAAAGAUCAGUGUCUAAAAUCUCCUGGAGAAGGCCUUCUCUCCUCCAGCCCCUCUGUACUCUCAGCAGUCACCCAGAAUCAACCCAGGUCUCCUCUACCCCCACCCAGGGCUCUACCUUCCCCUUCCUGGUGUGUAGAUGCCCUGGGGAAAGCGUGGACUCCCAACAGUACUUGGGAACCACAGCAAUCAUCCCAGACACACAGCCCCGCAGGACAGUGGGGACACAGCUGCAUCCUGGACCAUGCCCUAGCUUCCACAGAGGCGGGCCAUGUGGUUGGAGACAGCUCCCUGUCUAUUUCCCUAUGUAGACUUAUAAUUAACCCUCAUUAGGGAAGUGCCCUUAGGAUAUGCCUGCAUCCUGGAGUUUUGAGGUCGACUAAUCUAAUACACAUAAAGGCCACAAGAGGAAGCAAAACAAGGUCUGGUCACAGUUGGGUUCCCUAGUAAAGGAGUGGCGGAUCUCUCUGCACAUGGCUAAUCUAAGGUUUGGUUCCUUCCUAACUUCCUCCGGGUUUCUCGGCUCCAUUUAGAAGCCAUCAAAGCUAAAAUAUACAGUCUCUAUUCUCUAUUACAGCUAAGCAUGAUUUGUUUUAUUUAACUUUUAAAAUGUAGCUGUUGAAAAAUUAGUUAUGCGUAUGAUUCAUAUGAGAUUUCUAUAGGACAGUGUUUUAGAAACAUGGCAGCUUCAACCAAACUAUGCCCAGGGCAACAUGUUAUCAGGCUCCUACUCACCCCAGUCUCACUUCCCCAGCUUUGUCCCCCACCCUCACUCCCACCCUGCUUUGACUCCUCUUCCUUCCCCUUCUUCCUCCCUUCCCCCUUUUCCCCUCCAUCUUCCAGCCUCUCUCUCCACUAUAACUAUUCACUUCACAGUGGAAGAAUAAACUUUUUACUUCAUUUUCUUGUCUCCCAUGACCUGCAUCUUCUCUUUCUCCCCCAAAGUUCUAAGGCACACAGUGCAGUCAUGAUUGUGGGAAGGGAGCCCCUCUAUCCAGGAAAGACACUGUGGCCCUGUCCUUGGGGCCAUGCUCCUGAAAAGUAUUUUGAAGUUUUUUCCUUCUUAACAAUGUUUAGUCUAAAGGCUCUGUUCUUCUGUCCCAAGCCACACUUUGAAUAUAAAAGCAUUCUAUAACUGCCAGGAUAUUGGCCAUCAUUUGUAAUGAACAAGAAUAGAAAAGAUUGUUAUCUCUGGCUGAAUGGUGUGUGUGUGUGUGUGUGUGUGUGUGUGUGUGUGUGUAUGUGUGUGUGUGUGUGUGUGUGUGUGUGUGAGAGAGAGAGAGAGAGAGAAAACCAUGUUUUUUGUUCAUAUUCUUCAUAUGAAUUAUCUAAUGUAACCCUCAACAAUAUAAAAGCUCCAGAAAAAGUGCUCAACUAUAUUUUUUAUAUGAAGAAACAAGAAGAAGUGUAUUAAUGGUAAAACAAAUGCCAGCAACUUAACUCAAAAGCUUUGUUUCUGUAUUUGGUGCUUCUCACUGUCUAUGUUUGGUGCUGCUCUAGGUGCCUGAGAUGUCUCCACAAAUUCAGCAUGGAUCUCCUCCUUCAUGGGACUCAUUUUUUUCUAGCAAGAGGUGAGAUUAUGAACCAUGCUAUAAUACAUGUUAAUAAGAAAGAAUCACACCCUAAUCCCCAAACAUGUGGAUGUGUCACUGAUGUGGUGACCCGACCCUGUUAUUAGGAGAAGAACUAAGUCAACAGCACCUCAUGGUGACGAGGAAAGUAGAGGAGAGGACAGGGAAGAUGUGAAUCAUGAGAGGGACCUGACCCCAUUGUUGGUAGCUUAGAAGACAGAGGAAGGAAGCCAUGGCCAAGGGACAUGAGCAACAUGCAGAAGCUAAGAAUGGCAGCAAGAGGCCUUGGUCCUUUCAACCCAGGGAGUUCUGUGCCAAUAACCAGCAUGGUCAGGACACAUACUUCCCAGAGCCUGCAGGUGUAAACACGGCCUUGACUUUAGUCUUAGGAGAUCUGCCAGAGAAGCCAGCCCAUCCCAUCAGAGUCUUGACCUAGACAAGAGUAAGAUAAAUCUGAUUUUUUUUCAAACUACUAAAGUUUGGUGAUUUCUGGUGACAAAGAAACACAGCAAUACAUAUAAGAUGUAACUGACUCAGACGACAUCCAAUCAGAAAGUACAAGAUGUAACUGACGAGAUAAUGUCCAGUCAGGAAAAGAGAGAUCGCUCUGAAUACUUCAAACAAAGCUUUAAUGCAUGAGACUGGUGUGAGCACUGCAGGAAGGGGUGGUGGACCCACCAGGGAGGGGCGUGGCCUGGUGGAGCAGGCCCAGAGCACUCCCAGUGCCCAGCCUUAUGCCUGCUAUUAUUCAGAGCCCAUGGCCUGUGACUUAGAACUACUUCCACUGAGAGUGCAAUGAAUACAUGUCCCCACUCUACUCGACUUAAGGGACAGAAGCGAUGAGCUUAUGCUGAAGCCAGGCUUACGAGGCCCCUCAGAUUCCACCCAUUCCCUCUCACAGGCUUAUGGCCACCUGGGAGGAGGACAGAGUCCAGUUGCCACAGUGAAAAACAGCUUAGAUAGCGGUGAUCAGCCAGCCUGCAGGCUAGAAUCACUUAGUCAACCUCAGACAGACAAGUAAUAAACACUUACACAUAUGUUUGCUGCUAAAAUUUAUGGUUAUGUGCUACACAGAACCAUUUCAGAAACAAGUAAAUUGCGGUUCUGGAAAAUCAGGAAACUAUCAUCACUACUGGUUUGGAUGAAAAAAGGUGAGAGGCAUAGCCCAGAGGUCAGGAAACUUCCAGUACCCCAAACUGAGGCCCACAGCCUGAUGUUUACCACUGUCUGGCUGAGAUCUGUCCCUGUUACCAAUGAGGUUGGAGACACUGUGGCUAAUGCCGUUGGAAAGUCGGCAAACUAUCCCACCCUCAGGCUGGGGCCCGCGGCAGUCAUUGCUAUUUCUAGCUACUCUGAAUAAGGCAGUAUACAAAGAGCCAGGAGGAAUCCAGUCACUGGACAUCAGCAGCUUGGCUUUGCCCCAACUUGCAGGGCUCAGGCUGAUAACACUUAACACGCUUUAUUGUUUUAAUAAGCUGUGAGACGGGGAGAGAAGUUGGCCUCUGUCUCUCAAGUCCCUUUUGAAGUGUUUGAAUGUCUGACCCUGAGUUCUUUCUCAUGUGUCAUGGUUUGUCUAUGUUUGGCCCAGGGAGUGGCACUAUUAGGUGUAGUGCCUUGUUGGAGUAGGUUUGAUUUUGUUGGAGUAGGUGUGUCACUGUGGGCCUGGGCUUUAAGAGCCUCACCCUAGCUGCCUGGAAGUCAGCAUUCUGCUAGCAGCCUUCAGAUGAAGAUGUUGAACUCUCAGCUCCUCCUGCACCAUGCCUGCCUGGAUGCUGCCAUGCUCCCACCUUGAUGAUACUGGACUGAACCUCUGAAACUGUGAGCCAGCCCCAGUUAAAUGUCUGUUGUGAUAUAAUUAAAAAAGCACACAACCAGGGGCUGGGGAUUUAGCUCAGUGGUAGAGCGCUUACCUAGGAAGCGCAAGGCCCUGGGUUCGGUCCCCAGCUCCGGAAAAAAAAAAAAAAAGAACCAAAAAAAAAAAAAAAAAAAAAAAAAAAAAGCACACAACCGGUUCCUGUGAGUUUCCACACUGUGGACCACUGCACUCUAGUUGUUCUUCUGUCAGCUGCUUUCACACGCUGUCUCUCUGUCAGGUUGUUAACAUGCCUGACACAUACAUUGCAUUCCACGAGCCGUGCUAUCAUGGCCCCACGCCAUGCUAGUCUAAAGCAUUCUAUAGCCUAGCCUGUCUUCCUGUCACAGACUGUGCUCACACUCCCAACAACCCAGUGAAAUCAUGACUCAACAAAUUGUAACCCAACAACCAGAUUUAUAUGUUAAUUACUCAAUGUACAAUACAUCCACACAAUUAACUUACAACCAAUUGAUAAGGAUAUAAACUGCCCACCUAGACACACAUCUUGACCCACAAAAUCCUGUGCACAUCCGUCCCUUAAGAAUAGUCAUAACAACCUGUAGAUGUACAGAGAGGAAUCUUAACAUCUGCCUCCAUGUUCUCUCGGCUGCUCUCUCCUCUGCUCGGGCCUCCUCUCCUCUCCAAAACUUUUCUCCUGCCCAUCCUUCCUUCUCGUCCAAUGAGAGGUCUCAUUCUAUCCUGUACCUGCCUUUACCUGCAUAAUGACAUCAACCUACAGUUGUCCUUAUAAGAGUUGCCUUGGACAUGGUGUCUGUUUGCAGCAGUUAAACACUAAGACAUCAUGUGUAUAUCAUCUCUUUACUACAUCCAGUUGGAACACGAAAAAAUGCCAUGGCCCCUUCAGACUCCAAAGGACCACUGGCCAAACCUGCAUUUAUAGCAAAUUUAAUGGAACUUUUUGACAACCAGGGGAAAGCGGCAGUGAAAAGACAUCAGUGUGUCUGCGUGCGUGCACACACACACACACACACACACACACACGUUUUCACGUUUCCACGAACACAUUAAUAAUAAUAAAUAAAAUACAUUUCAAAGACCAAAACAAAUAUAAAGAAACCAUGCUUGGAUACAUCCUAGCAAAACCAUAGAAAAUCCAAGAUAAAACCCCUAAAAGCAGCUCAGAGAAGAGACAAUGAUAAUUUUUCAAAAGAAAAAUUUGGGAAGACUGACGAGGGGAUUCUCCAGAGAAACAAUGGGGAAAACGGAGAGAACUCACUGCCAGUAGAGCCCAAACCAGAAGAAAUGGUGCCCAGAGAGAGCGAGCAAGCAUCAGGGAAGUGUGGCUGACAGGAAUGUGGCUCUCCUCCGGAGAAGGACGGUGCUCUCCAUAUGAGCUUUAUAGCCACAGAUUACAGCCAUAUUUCUGCCACUGGAUGUUUGUCGAAACCCACAGGACUAUGCACUAAAAAGGCAGGCUUUGCUUACACUUGUCCAAGAGAAGGUUUAAAGUAAGCUGACCAACAUUCGAAGAGCUUUCUUCUGUGUUGCUGAUCUCUACACCCACUCUCUGCCAAUAGCACAGCAUAUCCCAGCACCCACUCUGAAGCAAGCCUUGAAACCCCAUCCAUGCCCUGUGUAAGCUCGUUCUUCUUCAGAAUAAUUUUUAGCUAUUUCACACCAUUCCUGUUUACAUAUGCAUCUUGGUAAUUUCUACAAAAAAAAAAAAAACAAACAAACAAACAAAAAAAAAAAACCCUGCUAACACAGGGUGUCCAUAUUCUAUGGGUCAACUUUGGAUAAUAGACAUGUUAAGUAACCAUUCCCUGAAAUCUAUAGAGAUGACAUAUUUUUCCAUUUAAACAUUUCCCUUGGUAUCCUUCAAUGUGUAUAUAUUUCUUUUUGAAAUAAAAUCCCUCACUGUGCAGUCCGAUUUGACCUUAGAACCUCAUCCCUCCCGAGGGCUGGGGUCACAGAGACAAAUCACCAAGCCUGGAUGAGGUCUGCACAGCUAUUUUAUGUAAUUAUAAAGAAAUUAUUUAUAUGUCCAUCAGCAAGGUAUUUGUAAGUAAAAUAAUUGUACAUCCAUCCCAAAUGAUGAAAUGCCAUCUAUGUUAAGGUGGUUAAGAGAAACCAAAUGAGAAAUAAAAAAAAUCUAUUUUCUUGGUAUCUUCAAAUGGUUUUUUUAAAUUAUCAUAAAAAAUGGAGAAAGAUUCCCCUUCAAAUCAUCCAUCAUUAAUCAGACAAGAAAUGGAGGUCCGUAUUAACAGAGAAACUGCAGAAAGUUCAAGCGCAGUCUUUCAGUACCUCUAGGGUAGCACCCAGCACCAAUGUGAUCAAUAUUGAGUAAAUGACACCCCAGCGCCACUCUGAUCAAUACUGAGUAAAAGUCUGCAUCAGGAAAACUCUGAGGCUUCUAAGUAACAGCCACCAAUUCAGGAACAGGUGCAUUUACUGAUCCGAACAGUAGGGAACACUGCACAGGAAAUCGGUUCUGGCGAACUAGACGACCCAAUGGACCGGAAGCGAAGGACAGGAUGAAGACUGUCAAAAAGGGUGCAGAAAACGUGCUGUAAGUGAAAGACACGUGGCCACCGAAGGGCUGUGUCUGUAUCUCGAAAAACACACACACAGAGCAACAGAUACUGACAUUAAGUUACUUAACAUGGAAGGAUUCUUUAAACAUCUGUGCAGAAAAAAAAAAGUCACCCAAAAGAAAGAAAGACCAGGAUGGCCCCCAAAUUCUCCACAGGGACAUUUAUUUACAGGCGACAGCGGAACAAAACACAGGCGUGCCCGAGGCUGAGGGUAUGACUCAGGGAUACUUGGGUACACUACUCUCCUCAGCCUCACAUUCAAAUAUGGACAGUUCGCACUGCACAGUACUGCAGUGUGACCCAUUUCAUUCAGGAAAACCUAGGUAUUUGUGCCAUGUGUGUAGGUAUCUAGGAAUGCAGGUAUAAAAAGGUCUGAAAAUCUCAGCAGCAGUAAUUAUCUCUAAGAAGUGAAAUUACAACGGAGUCUUUUUCUUUCAACUUUUGUGUUUCUGGAUAGUAAUUUAAAAAAAAAAAAAAAAACCUUUCUGGCAAUUUCUUAAAUUUGUCUGCACAGACAGGGCCGGGGUUUUUAAAGUUCUAAUUCUGAGGAAGUAUUACUCAGAGAAGGAGUAAGAUGGCUAUUUUCACUGGUAAAGCGGGAUGAACAUGGAGAACAUGGGAAGUUAGCCCACGACAAAAGAACUAGAAGAAUCGUAUGAGGUGGGCACCGGGGGCAGGUGGGAGGCAGGUCUCCGGGUGAGCUGUUCUUUCCGAGUCUGGGCCUUCAUGGACUUCCGAACAAUCUGAAAUUUGCAAAGUCCAGGCGUAAGACUAGAAAGAGCGAGCAGGUGCAUUUGAUAAAUGCAAAAGCCAUUGGAUGGCAGAGCUCCACGCAGGGUGGGUCCUGACGUCACACUCACUUGUGGUGAGGCGCGAAAGCUUUUCAGAUGGUAAUGAAACCGGAAGUUGCUCCUUGUCGUUCUGAGCACACUUCCUCCCACAGCAAAAGGCCAAAGGAGAAACAUCAUGAGGCAGCCUGAAUAGUGUGGCCUAGAAAUGCACAGAUCUGGUGAGAAGAGAGAAAAAAAAAAAAAAAAAAAAGAAUUUCUAGACAAAGUGCAUGAAACCGCAGCUAAACAAGGCCUCUGUGUGUUAUAUAGAAAGAGACUUUCAUGAGACUAACACUUUUUUGGAAAGGUAAUUGAACACAAUGAUAGACAAAAUUAAAGUAACUAACACAUGGCCAAUAUACACUGAAAGAUGUGUUCAGAAUUUCUAACCUCCCCACCCCCGCAAGUGCACUUAAUAAUAAGAUACCAUUCUUGGCCUAAAUCACCGGAAAUCAGGAAGUUUAACAAUAGCCAGUGCUAGGGAGGCCAGCUCUUCUAUCAACACUGUUCAGAGUGUGAACUGGUACCUUUCUCAUGCCGACUUGGCGUUCUGCAUCAAAGUAUUACAUGGAUUUUGUUUUGGCUCAGUAAUCACACCUCUAGGAAUGUGUAAGACAGUGGUAGGGUAAGGUUUUGAUACACAUGAGUCUAGAUACAGUAUCUACUAAUAGUUGUCAAACAGAGUGAUUCAUUCUCCUCAUACAUAAUGAUGUGUAACCAUUAAGAGUUAAGACAGCAGCUGAGUGUAAAGCAUGUGUCUGUAACCCUAGCAUCAAGGAAAUAGAGGCGGGAGAAAUACAAGUUGGAGCCUGCCAGACUGAGUUAUGUAAGAAGGCCCCUUCUCACAAAACAAAACGAGACGUCUUCAGACAUAGCUCCCUGUGAUUUGUGGAUGUAUCAUAUUGGUUAACAAAAAAGCGUGACAAGCUAUAUUGUACAUUUACAUCUCCUCAUCUUAACUUUGUGCAUGUCUGUGACUGUGUUUCUGUGUGUGGAUGCACAGAAAGGAAAACCGGGACAGAUACCUGGCAAAUAUUGGCAGCUGUUUCACUCAUGAGAAAGACUGAUGAGACUUUGAUUCUCACAGUGGACAUCUUCACAUAAAUACAGACCUCUAGCUUCACAGGCAGAACAAGAGCUGAUUUCAGAUUGACUUUUAAAAGUAUAAAUCUGAACCCUUAGAAAGUCCAAACACAGGAGAGAGCAUGUGCUUUAAUGAUGGUAAGGAACGUGAUAUAAAAAUCUACUGUUGAGAGGCCGGAGAGACUGACUUCCUGAGAGCCAUGGUUGGAUCCCAGUGCCCAUGUGGUUACUUGGAAUUCUGACCCAGGGGAUCUGACCCCUACUUUUUUGCCUCCUCAGGCACAAAGCACACAAGUGACACUCACACAUACUUUCAGGCACUCACACAUACAUAUAAAACGAAAAUAAAUAAAUAUCAAGAGAAACUUUUAAAAAUCUACUGUUGCAACGCCUUAGCAUGGUGCAAACCCCUAAUCACAAGGCAAGGGCUCGGGGCUGGGGAUUUAGCUCAGUGGUAGAGCGCUUACCUAGGAAGCGCAAGGCCCUGGGUUCGGUCCCCAGCUCCGAAAAAAAGAACCAAAAAAAAAAAAAACAAAAAAAACAAAAAAAAAAACAAACAA